CCUACGGGUGGCAGCAGUGGGGAAUAUUGCACAAUGGGGGAAACCCUGAUGCAGCAACGCCGCGUGAAGGAAGAAGGUCUUCGGAUCGUAAAACUCUGUUCUUAGUGAAGAAGAAUGAUGGUAGCUAAUGAGCAAGCCAUGGGUAACUACGUGCCAGCAGCCGCGGUCAAACGCAGGCGGCAAGCGUUGUACGGAAUUACUGGGGGGAAAGGGGGCGGAGGCGGGAAGCAAAGUCAGCUGUGAAAACUACGGGGUUAACUUGAAGUAAGCCGUUGAACCUGGUUAUCUAGAGUGAAGUAGAGGAUAGCGGAAUUCCAGGUGUAGCGGUAAAAUGCGUAGAUAUUCGGAGGAACACCAGUGGCGAAGGCGGCCGACUGGGCUUUAACUGACGCUGAGGCACGAAAGUGUGGGGAGCAAACAGGAUUAGAUACCCGGGUAGUC
rnacentral:rRNA from 1 species